rnacentral:rRNA from 1 species
AUGGAGAGUUUGAUCCUGGCUCAGGACGAACGCUGGCGGCGUGCUUAACACAUGCAAGUCGAACGGUGACGGAUGGAGCUUGCUCUGUCUUGAUCAGUGGCGAACGGGUGAGUAACACGUGAGUAACCUGCCCCAGACUCUGGAAUAACCCCGGGAAACCGGAGCUAAUACCGGAUAUGACACCAACCUGCAUGGGUAUGGUGUGGAAAGUUUUUCGGUCUGGGAUGGACUCGCGGCCUAUCAGCUUGUUGGUGAGGUAAUGGCUCACCAAGGCGACGACGGGUAGCCGGCCUGAGAGGGCGACCGGCCACACUGGGACUGAGACACGGCCCAGACUCCUACGGGAGGCAGCAGUGGGGAAUAUUGCACAAUGGGCGAAAGCCUGAUGCAGCGACGCCGCGUGAGGGAUGACGGCCUUCGGGUUGUAAACCUCUUUCAGCAGGGAAGAAGCGCAAGUGACGGUACCUGCAGAAGAAGCACCGGCUAACUACGUGCCAGCAGCCGCGGUAAUACGUAGGGUGCGAGCGUUGUCCGGAAUUAUUGGGCGUAAAGAGCUUGUAGGCGGUUUGUCGCGUCUGCCGUGAAAAUUCGAGGCUCAACCUCGAACUUGCGGUGGGUACGGGCAGACUAGAGUGUGGUAGGGGAGACUGGAAUUCCUGGUGUAGCGGUGAAAUGCGCAGAUAUCAGGAGGAACACCGAUGGCGAAGGCAGGUCUCUGGGCCACUACUGACGCUGAGAAGCGAAAGCAUGGGGAGCGAACAGGAUUAGAUACCCUGGUAGUCCAUGCCGUAAACGUUGGGAACUAGGUGUGGGUCUCAUUCCACGAGAUCCGUGCCGCAGCUAACGCAUUAAGUUCCCCGCCUGGGGAGUACGGCCGCAAGGCUAAAACUCAAAGGAAUUGACGGGGGCCCGCACAAGCGGCGGAGCAUGCGGAUUAAUUCGAUGCAACGCGAAGAACCUUACCAAGGCUUGACAUAUGCGAGAACGCGGCAGAGAUGUCGUUCUCUUUGGACACUCGCAUACAGGUGGUGCAUGGUUGUCGUCAGCUCGUGUCGUGAGAUGUUGGGUUAAGUCCCGCAACGAGCGCAACCCUCGUUCUAUGUUGCCAGCACGUGAUGGUGGGGACUCAUAGGAGACUGCCGGGGUCAACUCGGAGGAAGGUGGGGAUGACGUCAAAUCAUCAUGCCCCUUAUGUCUUG